rnacentral:rRNA from 1 species
GACGUAGGGCGCAAGCGUUGUCCGGAUUUAUUGGGCGUAAAGAGCUCGUAGGCGGCUUGUUGCGUCGACUGUGAAAACCCGUGGCUCAACCAUGUGGUCUGCAGUCGAUACGGGCAGGCUAGAAUUCGGUAGGGGAGACUGGAAUUCCUGGUGUAGCGGUGAAAUGUGCAGAUAUCAGGAGGAACACCGGUGGCGAAGGCGGGUCUCUGGGCCGAUAUUGACGCUGAGGAGCGAAAGCGUGGGGAGCGAACAGG